rnacentral:tRNA from 1 species
AAAAAUUUAGUUUAUAAAAAAAUAUUAAUUUGUCAAAUUAAAGAUGUUAAAUAA